GACGAACGCUAGCGGCGUGCCUAAUACAUGCAAGUGGGACGCAAGGGAACACACUGUGCUUGCACACCGUGUUUUCUUGAGUCGCGAACGGGUGAGUAACGCGUAGGUAACCUGCCUAUUAGCGGGGGAUAACUAUUGGAAACGAUAGCUAAUACCGCAUAAUAUUAAUUAUUGCAUGAUAAUUGGUUGAAAGAUGCAAGCGCAUCACUAGUAGAUGGACCUGCGUUGUAUUAGCUAGUUGGUAAGGUAAGAGCUUACCAAGGCGACGAUACAUAGCCGACCUGAGAGGGUGAUCGGCCACACUGGGACUGAGACACGGCCCAGACUCCUACGGGAGGCAGCAGUAGGGAAUCUUCGGCAAUGGACGAAAGUCUGACCGAGCAACGCCGCGUGAGUGAAGAAGGUUUUCGGAUCGUAAAGCUCUGUUGUAAGUCAAGAACGUGUGUGAGAGUGGAAAGUUCACACAGUGACGGUAGC
rnacentral:rRNA from 1 species